GAGUCACACACACCCUAACUCAAAUGACCCUUUCUUUUUAAAAAUUCAUAAAAUAUGACCGCAUAAGACCCCAUUCCUAGUGUAUGAAUAGGAUUUGUAGUCAUAAUCUAUAGACUAAUGGCUGAAGCAAGUCUAAUAUGAUCCAGCUGUGUUGUAUGGGGAACGUGAAGCUGAGGAGGAAGCAUGGCCUGAAGGGCCACAAGAUGGCAGCCUCCUCAAAUGUAACUCUCAGGAAGAAGCAGAAUGCCAAGUAUGUUUACAUGGCUCUGCCCCUCAUUUCCUUCUGGGCUUACUGCUGAACCUGGUGAACCUCAGGCCAGGAAGAAACCUUCCCAACCUGGAAGACAAGCCAGAUACAUGAAGUUUGAUGACCUUGGAAGCCAUGUGUGGAGCCAUAACAUUGAAGGAUCCUUGGUUCCUCUAUCACACUUUUGGAGAGGUACAGGACGGUCAAUAAACACGGUUGGCUAAGGAAGAGAAUUAUCUCUAACAUGAAAAUUUCAAAAUGCUUAUGAAAAUUUAAAGAGGACACAAAAAAUAGAAAGAUAUCCCAUGUUAAUGAAUUGGAAUAAUUAUUGCUAAAAUGUCCUUACUACCCAAAGCAAUCUACAGAUUCGAUGUGAUACACAUAAUAUUCUAAUUGCAGCCUCCACAAAGAUAGAAAAAACAAACCUAAAAUGGAACCACAAAAUACCCCAAAUAGUUAAAGGAAUCUUCAUCAAAAUGAACAAAGCUGUAGGUAUUACAAUAUCUGAUGUCAGAACAUACUACAAAAUUAAAAUAACCAAAAUAACAUGAUACUGGCAUAAAAAGAGACACGUAGAUCAAUGAAAAAUAAAAGAGAACCCAGAAAUGAAUCCACAUGUCCACAGCCAAAUGAUCUUUGACAAAGGUGGAAAUUGGAUAAAGGACACUCGAUUUAAUAAAUGGUGCCAGGAAACAGGACACCCAUAUGUAAAAGAGCAAAACUAGACUCAUAUCUCUCACCAUACAUGAAAAUAAAUUUAAAAUGGAUCAAAGACCAAAAUGUAAAACAUGAUACUACAAGAAGAACAACAGGGAAAACACUUCAAGGCAUCUAUGCAAACAAUGAUUUCUGGAUAAGACCCCAAAGUUUCAGCAAGAAAAGCAAAAAUGUACAAAUAAGAUUAUGUCAAAUGAAGAAGCUUCUUCAUAGCAAAGGAAAUAAUCAACAGAGUUUAAAAAAAAUAGCCUACAAAAUGGGGAAAAUAUUUGCAAACUAAUCAUCUAACAAGAAGUUAAUAUCCAGAAUAUAAAAGUGACUUAAGAAAUGUGGUGCAUAUAUUCACCAGUGUAUUAUUCAGGCAUGAAAAAGUAUUGACUUCUAUCAUAUAUGGUAGCAUAAAUGGAACUGGGAAGCAUUAUGACAAGUGAAAUAAGACAGGCUUGGAAAGACAUGAUCUUUCUCAUAUGUGAAAAAACAAGUUGAUUUCAUAGAGAUUAGAAGAGUAGUCACAAGAAGAUAGGAAGAUGAAAGAGAAUAAAAGGAAGUUAGAUAAUGGGUAUGAUAAUAUGUUACAAGCCAGGUACAGUGGUGCAUGCCUAUAAGCUCAGCAACUCAGGAAGAUGAUGCAAGAGGAUCUCAAGUUCCAGGCUAGCAAGAGCCUCAGCAACUUAACA